UAGUUCAUAUCUUAUCAUGAAUCUUUUCUUCUUCGCCAACAGCAACCAUCCGGGACAGCGUGUUCAAGACUAGAUAUCCGGAAGGAUACAGUAAAUGAUGAACUUCCACCAGACAGCCCCUGGAUUCCCUUGACAGAAAAACCUUGCAACGUUGAUGCCUUUGCAGACACAAUCAACAUCGAUAGCAAGGAGGGAUUCAGCGACAAGGAAGGGAAAACAAGUGAAGCAACAAUGGGCCAAAGUGACAGAGACUUAUCAUUUACUG